GGGCUGUGAAGAUUACUGUGCCUACCUGUGGCGGUAGGGUCUGCCACAAUUCUCUGAUUUAAAAAUCGGAUUAACAACACGGCACUGCUGAGCUC